AAGAGGAUCAUCUCCGACCUGUGUAAACUCUAUAACCUCCCUCAGCAUCCAGAUGUGGAGAUGCUGGAUCAGCCCUUGCCAGCCGAGCAGUGUACACAGGAAGACGUGUCUUCAGAAGAUGAAGAUGAAGAGAUGCCUGAGGACACAGAAGACCUAGAUCACUAUGAGAUGAAAGAAGAAGAGCCAGCUGAGGGCAAGAAAUCUGAAGAUGAUGGCAUCGGAAAAGAAAACUUGGCCAUACUAGAGAAAAUUAAAAA